rnacentral:rRNA from 1 species
CUCUUGACAUCCAGAGAACUUUCCAGAGAUGGAUUGGUGCCUUCGGGAACUCUGAGACAGGUGCUGCAUGGCUGUCGUCAGCUCGUGUUGUGAAAUGUUGGGUUAAGUCCGCAACGAGCGCAACCCCUAUCCUUUGUUGCCAGCGAUUCGGUCGGGAACUCAAAGGAGACUGCCGGUGAUAAACCGGAGGAAGGUGGGGAUGACGUCAAGUCAUCAUGGCCCUUACGAGUAGGGCUACACACGUGCUACAAUGGCGUAUACAAAGAGAAGCGACCUCGCGAGAGCAAGCGGACCUCAUAAAGUACGUCGUAGUCCGGAUUGGAGUCUGCAACUCGACUCCAUGAAGUCGGAAUCGCUAGUAAUCGUAGAUCAGAAUGCUACGGUGAAUACGUUCCCGGGCCUUGUACACACCGCCCGUCACACCAUGGGAGUGGGUUGCAAAAGAAGUAGAUAGCUUAACCUUCGGGAGGGCGUUUACCACUUUGUGAUUCAUGACUGGGGUGAAGUCGUAACAAGGUAGGCGUAGCGAG